rfam:Schistosoma rodhaini strain Burundi genome assembly, scaffold: SROB_scaffold0001951
AUCCAGCUGACGAGCCCCGAAUAAGACGAAACGCGCGUCCUGGUU